rnacentral:rRNA from 1 species
GCCCCGUCUCUUUUUUCUAAUCAGUGAAUCUGACCUCUUCGUGAAGAGGCGAAGAUAUACCUAUAAGACGAGAAGACCCCAUGGAGCUUAAAACACAGGAACACCUUUUUCACUAAAAACCCUUAAAAAUAAAAAGGUCUGUUACACUAGUUUUCGGCUGGGGUGCCCGAGGAGAAUAACCCAACCUCCCCGACGAUCUAUUUAAGAACAACAACUCGAAAAAACAACAAUUUGACGCAAAAUGACCCGACUCGCUAGUCGAUCAACGAACCAAGUUACCCUGGGGAUUACAGCGCAAUCCAUUUCAUGAGCCCUUAUCGACAAAUGGGUUUACUACCUCGAUGUUGGAUCA